CCCUUAGAUGUUCUGGGCCGCACGCGCGCUACACUGAUGCAGUCAACGAGUUUACAACCUUGGCUGAAAGGCCUGGGUAAUCUUUUAAAACUGCAUCGUGCUGGGGAUAGAUGAUUGCAAUUAUUCAUCUUCAACGAGGAAUUCCUAGUAAACGCAAGUCAUCAGCUUGCAUUGAUUACGUCCCUGCCCUUUGUACACACCGCCCGUCGCACCUACCGAUUGAAUGGUCCGGUGAAAUCUUCGGACCGUGGCAAUGUCGCCGUUCGCGGGGACGCUGCCGUGGGAAGUUGCUUAAAUCUUACCAUUUAGAGGAAGGUGAAGUCGUAACA
rnacentral:rRNA from 1 species